CAGCUGGGGGCAGCUAUACAUGCAAGUCGAGCGGUAACAGAUCUAGCUUGCUGGAUGCUGACGAGCGGCGGACGGGUGAGUAAUGCAUAGGAAUCUGCCCGAUAGUGGGGGAUAACCUGGGGAAACCCAGGCUAAUACCGCAUACGUCCUACGGGAGAAAGGGGGCUCCGGCUCCCGCUAUGGGAUGAGCCUAUGUCGGAUUAUCUAGUUGGUGAGGUAGCGGCUCACCAAGGCCACGAUCCGUAGCUGGUCUGAGAGGAUGAUCGGCCACAUCGGGACUGAGACACGGCCCGAACUCCUACGGGAGGCAGCAGUGGGGAAUAUUGGACAAUGGGGGAAACCCUGAUCCACCCAUGCCGCGUGUGUGAAGAAGGCCCUCGGGUUGUAAAGCACUUUCAUCGAGGAAGAACGCCUAGGGGUUAAUACCCGCUAGGAAAGACAUCACUCGCAUAAGAAGCACCGGCUAACUCCGUGCCAGCAGCCGCGGUAAUACGGAGGGUGCAAGCGUUAAUCGGAAUUACUGGGCGUAAAGCGCGCGUAGGUGGCUUGAUAAGCCGGUUGUGAAAGCCCCGGGCUCAACCUGGGAACGGCAUCCGGAACUGUCAAGCUAGAGUGCAGGAGAGGAAGGUAUAAUUCCCGGUGUAGCGGUGAAAUGCGUAGAGAUCGGGAGGAAUACCAGUGGCGAAGGCGGCCUUCUGGACUGACACUGACACUGAGGUGCGAAAGCGUGGGUAGCAAACAAGAUUAGAACCCCGGGUACACA
rnacentral:rRNA from 1 species